rnacentral:rRNA from 1 species
AGAGCGAACGCUGGCGGCAGGCCUAACACAUGCAAGUCGAGCGCCGUAGCAAUACGGAGCGGCAGACGGGAGAGUAACACGUGGGAACGUACCCUUUGGUUCGGAACAACCCAGGGAAACUUGGGCUAAUACCGAAUAAGCCCUUACGGGGAAAGAUUUAUCGCCGAAGGAUCGGCCCGCGUCUGAUUAGCUAGUUGGUGGGGUAAUGGCUCACCAAGGCGACGAUCAGUAGCUGGUCUGAGAGGAUGAUCAGCCACAUUGGGACUGAGACACGGCCCAAACUCCUACGGGAGGCAGCAGUGGGGGAAUAUUGGACAAUGGGCGCAAGCCUGAUCCAGCCAUGCCGCGUGAGUGAUGAAGGCCCUAGGGUUGUAAAGCUCUUUUGUGCGGGAAGAUAAUGACGGUACCGCAAGAAUAAGCCCCGGCUAACUUCGUGCCAGCAGCCGC